UUUAUUUACAAUUAUAUAUUGACGUAAAUUCUGCGACUUGCUAGCAAAAUGAGAACUAAAUCCCAAGAUUGUAAUCUCCGUGUGUCUCUCUUGUUGGUUAGAGAAGGAAAGACUUGAAAUUACAACUUGUAUGCUGGAGAGAGGUGUGACUGAAAAUUAGUCUAUGCCUCAGCAGUGCAAUUGGAAUCUUCAUUGCCGAGCAUGGAUCAACAAUGUACAUCUACGCAAACGCACAGAUUAUU
rnacentral:misc_RNA from 1 species